rnacentral:rRNA from 1 species
UACAGAGGUGGCAAGCGUUGUUCGGAAUUACUGGGCGUAAAGGGCGCGUAGGUGGCCAUCUAAGUCAGACGUGAAAUCCCCCGGGCUUAACCUGGGAACUGCAUUUGGGACUGCAAGGCUUGAGUGCGGCAGAGGAGACUGGAAUUCCUGGUGUAGCAGUGAAAUGCGUAGAUAUCAGGAGGAAUACCGAUGGCGAAGGCAGGUCUCUGGGCUGACACUGACGCUCAUGCACGAAAGCGUGGGGAGCAAACAGG